CCCUUAGAUGUUCUGGGCCGCACGCGCGCUACACUGACGAAUGCAACGAGUUUAUAACCUUGGCCGAAAGGUCUGGGUAAUCUCCAAAUUUCGUCGUGAUGGGGAUAGAUUAUUGCAAUUAUUAAUCUUCAACGAGGAAUGCCUAGUAAGCGCAAGUCAUCAGCUUGCGUUGAUUACGUCCCUGCCCUUUGUACACACCGCCCGUCGCUCCUACCGAUUGAAUGGUCCGGUGAAGCGUUCGGACCGUGGCCUUUGGACGGUUCGCCGUCUGUUGGCUGCGGGAAGUUCGUUAAACCUUAUCAUUUAGAGGAAGGAGAAGUCGUAACA
rnacentral:rRNA from 1 species